GACUUGUUCUUGCCUUCUAAAGCAGAGAGGAGCUUUUGUGGGUAGUUCCUACAGGGAUACAUGGUAGAAAAUUCACCAAACCCAGUGCUGGAGUGUUUCUCUUCCUCAGAAGAAAUCAGAUGCUGUUCAGAGCACGAAGGCUAGAAUUUUACCCUGGUUCUCAUGCUACCUUGCACCCAGGUUGGAUCCUGAGUACAGUUUUUGGCAGGAAGCCCCAGAGAGAUUGGUGAGGGUGAUUUCCCAGGAAGACGCAGUGUGCUCUGACUUCUGUGACAGUGAGCAACGGGACCAGUGGAUGUCCAGAUGCUGGCAAUGAGACAUGCUCUGGAGUCAGAAGACAGCGAAAAGAGAAGCAGAAGCCCCGGUGGCAAGAGUCUGAAGGAAGGAUGACUGUAGCCUGUGGAUUGUACUGCAGUAGGAAACUGUCCUAGCAAGGCUCCACUUUGCCCCAGCUUCAAGCUGGAAAGGAGGAGAACAUGAAACAUUGCUUGAAGACAAUGGCCGAGACAGCAGGUCCCACCCUGCACAGCCACCAGCAUCUCUCCCCUCAGCCCUGUCUCCUCUUCUGCAGUUGGGAUCUGCACAUUUAAGCCUGAAAUUGUCCUGUGAAGUGAAGUAUGAUCGGACAGCCUCUUUUCAGCUUUUAUGACAAUGGAGACAGAGGAAUUGUGGCUCUUGCCAAGGUCACAGGAUUGGAAUACAGAGCCAAGCCACCCCAGGACAUGCAAGAGCCUCAGAAGGGAAAAAAGCCCAGCAGGAAGGGAGAACAAGUAGCCUCUGUCCUGAAGUUGUAACAGCCAGGGGCCAGGAUGGAGGAGGAGGACCCCAUAAUCUGCCCAUCUGGGACUUGGCAGGGGACCUGGGAAAAUGUACCCCAACCCAUCCCUUAAGGGCCUUUGUCUUUGGCCCAUUGGCCUAGCA
rnacentral:lncRNA from 1 species